rnacentral:rRNA from 1 species
AACGAACGCUGGCGGCAUGCCUAACACAUGCAAGUCGAACGAGACCUUCGGGUCUAGUGGCGCACGGGUGCGUAACGCGUGGGAACCUGCCCUUAGGUUCGGAAUCACUCCCCGAAAGGGGUGCUAAUACCGGAUAAUGUCUUCGGACCAAAGAUUUAUCGCCUUUGGAUGGGCCCGCGUUGGAUUAGCUAGUUGGUAGGGUAAAAGCCUACCAAGGCGACGAUCCAUAGCUGGUCUGAGAGGAGGACCAGCCACACUGGGACUGAGACACGGCCCAGACUCCUACGGGAGGCAGCAGUGGGGAAUAUUGGACAAGGGGCGAAAGCCUGAUCCAGCAAUGCCGCGUGAGUGAUGAAGGCCUUAGGGUUGUAAAGCUCUUUUACCCGGGAUGAUAAUGACAGUACCGGGAGAAUAAGCUCCGGCUAACUCCGUG